GACGAACGCUGGCGGCGUGCUUAACACAUGCAAGUCGAACGGAAAGGCCCUGCUUUUGUGGGGUGCUCGAGUGGCGAACGGGUGAGUAACACGUGAGUAACCUGCCCUUGACUUUGGGAUAACUUCAGGAAACUGGGGCUAAUACCGGAUAGGAGCUCCUGCUGCAUGGUGGGGGUUGGAAAGUUUCGGCGGUUGGGUAUGGACUCGCGGCUUAUCAGCUUGUUGGUGGGGUAGUGGCUUACCAAGGCUUUGACGGGUAGCCGGCCUGAGAGGGUGACCGGCCACAUUGGGACUGAGAUACGGCCCAGACUCCUACGGGAGGCAGCAGUGGGGAAUAUUGCACAAUGGGCGGAAGCCUGAUGCAGCAACGCCGCGUGCGGGAUGACGGCCUUCGGGUUGUAAACCGCUUUCGCCUGUGACGAAGCGUGAGUGACGGUAAUGGGUAAAGAAGCACCGGCUAACUACGU
rnacentral:rRNA from 1 species